UACGUAGGGUGCGAGCGUUGUCCGGAGUUAUUGGGCGUAAAGGGCUCGUAGGCGGUUUGUCGCGUCGGGAGUGAAAUCCACUGGCUUAACUGGUGGCUUGCUUUCGAUACGGGCAGACUGGAGGUAUGCAGGGGAGAACGGAAUUCCUGGUGUAGCGGUGAAAUGCGCAGAUAUCAGGAGGAACACCGGUGGCGAAGGCGGUUCUCUGGGCAUGUCCUGACGCUGAGGAGCGAAAGUGUGGGGAGCGAACAGG
rnacentral:rRNA from 1 species